rnacentral:tRNA from 1 species
CAAAAAAUAGUUUAAUUAAAAUUUUAGCUUUGGAAGUUAGAGACGGGAGUGACCCUUUUUUGA